AUUGAACGCUGGCGGCAGGCCUAACACAUGCAAGUCGAACGAGUGGCGGACGGGUGAGUCAUGUAUGGGAAACUGCCUGAUGGAGGGGGCUAACUACUGGCCACGGUAGCUAAUACCGCAUAACAUCAGAUGUUCCCAGAUGGGAUUAGCUAGUUGGUGGGGUAACGGCUCACCAAGGCGACGAUCCCUAACUGGUCUGAGAGGAUGACCAGCCACACUGGAACUUAGACACGGUCCAGACUCCUACGGGAGGCAGCAGGGGGGAAUAUUGCACAAUGGGCGCAAGCCUGAGGCAGCCAUGCCGCGUGUAGGAAGAAGGCCUUCGGGUUGUAAAGUACUUUCAGCGGGGAGGCGUUACCCGCAGAAGAAGCACCGGCUAACUCCGUGCCAGCAGCCGCGGUAAUUC
rnacentral:rRNA from 1 species